rnacentral:rRNA from 1 species
CCUCAGUAACGGCGAGUGAAGCGGCAACAGCUCAAAUUUGAAAUCUGGCCUCACGGUCCGAGUUGUAAUUUGUAGAGGAUGCUUCGAGCAUGGUCUGGCCUAAGUUCCUUGGAACAGGACGUCAUAGAGGGUGAGAAUCCCGUAUGCGGCCAGGUGCCUACGCUCAUGUGAAGCUCCUUCGACGAGUCGAGUUGUUUGGGAAUGCAGCUCAAAAUGGGUGGUAAAUUUCAUCUAAAGCUAAAUAUUGGCCAGAGACCGAUAGCGCACAAGUAGAGUGAUCGAAAGAUGAAAAGCACUUUGGAAAGAGAGUUAAACAGUACGUGAAAUUGUUGAAAGGGAAGCGCUUGCAACCAGACUUGCGUGCGGCCGAUCAUCCGGUGUUCUCACCGGUGCACUCGGUCGCGCUCAGGCCAGCAUCGGUUUUGGUGGUUGGAUAAAGGCCCUAGGAAUGUAGCUUCUCUCGGGGAGUGUUAUAGCCUAGGGUGCAAUGCAGCCCACCGGGACCGAGGACCGCGCUUCGGCUAGGAUGCUGGCGUAAUGGUUGUAAGCGACCCGUCUUGAAACACGGACCAAGGAGUCUAACAUCUAUGCGAGUGUUUGGGUGUCAAACCCAUACGCGUAAUGAAAGUGAACGGAGGUGAGAACCCUUAAGGGUGCAUCAUCGACCGAUCCUGAUGUCUUCGGAUGGAUUUGAGUAAGAGCAUAGCUGUUGGGACCCGAAAGAUGGUGAACUAUGCCUGAAUAGGGUGAAGCCAGAGGAAACUCUGGUGGAGGCUCGCAGCGGUUCUGACGUGCAAAUCGAUCGUCAAAUUUGGGCAUAGGGGCGAAAGACUAAUCGAACCAUCUAGUAGCUGG